rnacentral:rRNA from 1 species
AGUGAACGCUGGCGGUAGGCCUAACACAUGCAAGUCGAACGGCAGCACAGUAAGAGCUUGCUCUUACGGGUGGCGAGUGGCGGACGGGUGAGGAAUACAUCGGAAUCUACUUUUUCGUGGGGGAUAACGUAGGGAAACUUACGCUAAUACCGCAUACGACCUACGGGUGAAAGCAGGGGAUCUUCGGACCUUGCGCGAUUGAAUGAGCCGAUGUCGGAUUAGCGAGUUGGCGGGGUAAAGGCCCACCAAGGCGACGAUCCGUAGCUGGUCUGAGAGGAUGAUCAGCCACACUGGAACUGAGACACGGUCCAGACUCCUACGGGAGGCAGCAGUGGGGAAUAUUGGACAAUGGGCGCAAGCCUGAUCCAGCCAUACCGCGUGGGUGAAGAAGGCCUUCGGGUUGUAAAGCCCUUUUGUUGGGAAAGAAAAGCAGCAGGUUAAUACCCCGCUGUUCUGACGGUACCCAAAGAAUAAGCACCGGCUAACUUCGU